GAUGAACGCUGGCGGCGUGCCUAAUACAUGCAAGUCGAGCGAACAGACGAGGAGCUUGCUCCUCUGACGUUAGCGGCGGACGGGUGAGUAACACGUGGAUAACCUACCUAUAAGACCGGGAUAACUUCGGGAAACCGGAGCUAAUACCGGAUAAUAUAUUGAACCGCAUGGUUCAAUAGUGAAAGACGGUUUUGCUGUCACUUAUAGAUGGAUCCGCGCCGCAUUAGCUAGUUGGUAAGGUAACGGCUUACCAAGGCAACGAUGCGUAGCCGACCUGAGAGGGUGAUCGGCCACACUGGAACUGAGACACGGUCCAGACUCCUACGGGAGGCAGCAGUAGGGAAUCUUCCGCAAUGGGCGAAAGCUUGACGGAGCAACGCCGCGUGAGUGAUGAAGGUCUUCGGAUCGUAAAACUCUGUUAUUAGGGAAGAACAAAUGUGUAAGUAACUAUGCACGUCUUGACGGUACCUAAUCAGAAAGCCACGGCUAACUACGUG
rnacentral:rRNA from 1 species